CCUCAAACCCUCUCCAAUUAAUCCUCCAUCAAUAUCAAUCCAAACCAAGAGCAAAUAUAUCAACUUUAACAUGAAGAACAACAUGACAACUUCGAAAUUGUGAUUUCUUCACUAUUUCACCUUUCGGAGGAAAACCUUGCUUUGAAGUAACUUGGGGUUUGAAGUGAUUUUCAUGAUGUAAGGAGAUCGUUCGUAAGGCGUUCGAGGACUCGGGAAACAUAUAUAACUCCAUCGACGAGGUACGGUAGACGGAUUGUUGUACCUUUCUCAGUAGGAUACCAAAGUUCAGCAGGGAUGUUCGCACUCCAUUCUCUGGAGUUGCUGGUCAGAGCCAUUAAAUAGGAUGCAUGCAUGCAUGUAUAUAUAUAUAUAUAUUAUGGGUAUGGCUAUUGGGUACGUCGGGGCCACCGUCCCGACCAGUUGAUGUAUAUUAGUGCUCUUAGAGGCUUACAGACUAUCGGGUCCGGUCCGUGUUGUGUUUGGCCUUGCCGGCCUUCUGACUAGUUGUCUUUCUUGGUUAUGGCCUUGUCGGCCCUAGUUAUGCAUAUAUGUGUUGUUGGGCCUUUUCUGCUUGCAGGUUGUUAUGAUAUACUUCUUACUAUUGUUAUUCAGCGGCCUCGUCGGCCUAUGAUUCACGUUACAGAGUUUAGAUAUUACAGUUGGUUCGCUCGGCCCUUCGA